rnacentral:rRNA from 1 species
AGUGAACGCUGGCGGUAGGCCUAACACAUGCGAGUCGAACGGCAGCACAGUAAGAGCUUGCUCUUACGGGUGGCGAGUGGCGGACGGGUGAGGAAUACAUCGGAAUCUACUUUUUCGUGGGGGAUAACGUAGGGAAACUUACGCUAAUACCGCAUACGACCUACGGGUGAAAGCAGGGGAUCUUCGGACCUUGCGCGAUUGAAUGAGCCGAUGUCGGAUUAGCUAGUUGGCGGGGUAAAGGCCCACCAAGGCGACGAUCCGUAGCUGGUCUGAGAGGAUGAUCAGCCCCACUGGAACUGAGACACGGUCCAGACUCCUACGGGAGGCAGCAGUGGGGAAUAUUGGACAAUGGGCGCAAGCCUGAUCCAGCCAUACCGCGUGGGUGAAGAAGGCCUUCGGGUUGUAAAGCCCUUUUGUUGGGAAAGAAAAGCAGCAGGUUAAUACCCCGCUGUUCUGACGGUACCCAAAGAAUAAGCACCGGCUAACUUCGUG